UACGAAGGGUGCAAGCGUUACUCGGAAUUACUGGGCGUAAAGCGUGCGUAGGCGGUUUGUUAAGUCCGUUGUGAAAGCCCUGGGCUCAACCUGGGAAUUGCAGUGGAUACUGGCGAGCUAGAGUGCGGUAGAGGAUGGUGGAAUUCCCGGUGUAGCGGUGAAAUUCGUAGAUAUCGAGAGGAACACCGGUGGCGAAGGCGGCUUUCUGGACGGUUACUGACGCUGAGACGCGAAAGCGUGGGGAGCAAACAGG
rnacentral:rRNA from 1 species